rnacentral:tRNA from 1 species
CGCGGAGUAGAGCAGUGGUAGCUUGUCAGGCUCAUAACCUGGAGGUCGUGGGUUCGAAUCCUGCCUCCGCAA